CUAGAUCGUUGGAAAUGGCAUUUUCAGAGUCUUCUAUACCUUAUACACACAACUUUUGGUAGCUUUUAUUUAGAUAUACAAAACCAUAUUGUUGAAUACCCACAAGUACGAGGUUGCAUGAAGUGAUGUUUUGAUGAUCUAUUUUUGGCUUAAUGGCGGGAAUUUUUUAAGAAGAAAAAAGUUUUAUGUUAAAUUUGACGCAAAUGAAGUCACUCUUAAUAGUUAAAAUGUGCAACAAAGCCAACAUAUCUAAGAACCCGUGAGAUAUUAACAAGCUGUGAGCUCACUGUGAGGUUAUAGUAAAAUAUGUGAUGCUCAUGGUGGAUCUGUGAGAGUUGGCAACUACGCCCUAGUAUAUUUAUAUAUUCUUUACCAUUUAUUGAGUCAACAGCUGUUCCAAUCAGUACAUGUUUAUGUUGAAAUCAGUUUAAUAAAUGGUGUUGUAUUGGAGUUUACUACAGUAAUAAUGUUCUAUACUGCUCUCUAUUUUUUAUCUGUAGGUUUUAUGGUACGACGAGGUCAUGCGGGGCAGAUAUUUAUAUUGCACAAAAUUCCCCCCUUUUUUCAUGCACAAAAAUAUCUGCCCCCCCUCUUUUUCCACCAGCCCCCCUCCCCUGUAAUUAAUGACCGGUCCCUUAAUUUUUAAUAGAAGGGACGAUCAAUAGAUGGUCAGUUAGUUACGUUUUUAUUUUGUCAAAUUUCACAUCAAGUUUUGGUUCAGGUACACCCUGACCAUUAUCGCAAUGUGUGAAAAUAUUAUAAGCUAUACCGUCUAUUUUUGGCAUUCUCAAUUAAACGCUAAUUGAGGUUCUCACUGUAAACUGAGUGUCUGCUCUUGUACUUUGUACUCCUUCACUUAAAUCAGGCAUUAAAAUAGCGUGUCCUUGUACACACUUUGUGUCCUUGUAAAAGGCGAAUGUGCCCUUGUAAAUUGAAAAGUGUGUACUUGAAAAUAUAUUAAACUGAAAACAUAUUAAUGUAAUCCACGCAAAAUGGCCAAAGAUUUUGCAAAUUCUUUUCUCAGAACUCUGGAAAUGCCAUUUCAGAGACCCCCUUAAAAGUUCGCGUCUCCGACGCUAAACUUGUGGCUUCGCCACUCGUUCUCGUGAGUCUGCACAUUUAUACCAAAAAUACGCCUCUGAAGGCAAAGUGUGUCCUUGUAAAAAUUCCGUAUUUUAAUGCCUGACUUUAAAUAGAGAUAUUCGAACACUGUAGAAGCACCCGAAAC